CUCUACAUCAAUCCUCUCCAUCUCCACCUUCACCGACCGGCCACACUUCUCAUCAACAACCAACCACGGAGCCCUGAAAGAAAACACAUCCCGACCACACUACUCGGUUUCUCAUUGACACCAACCCACGACAUUUCGAUCGGCCCCUACUUGGUUUCUCAAUCUGACGGUGACCCAUAGAGCUGACGGCCACACUACUCGAUUUCUCAUCGACGAUGACCCACCUCCCCAGUUCUCAAUAUGAAAUUCCUUACGAUCCACCUAGUGACCCACCUACUAGAAGCCUCAUCCGCUGGAAAGGAAAUCCCUUACGCUGAAACUCCAUCAUUUUUGUUCAAGAAAAUUGAUUUUCAUGCUAUGUUCUCUUUCUUUUUUAUUUCUAUGUUUUUCUUUGGUUCUUUUUGGCAUCUCUUAAUGUGCACGUUUGAUUUAGAAGAACUUUCUUUGUGUUUCUCCUUGUCAAUGUUUUUAAAAUCGUGAAUGAAUGCACUUGUAUGAUUUUUUAUAGGCAUUUCGAUUUUCAAUUUAUUGCUUGAAUAGAAGUUGAGAAAAUGAGUUUUGGAGUCAUCGGGCAACGAAUUGCGUUUGGAAGAUCUAAUCUAGUAAGGUUUAGAAGACUCUAUUCAUUUGCUUUUGGCGAAUAUGAUGUAUAUAUGAUGAAGACUCUAAUCUAGUAAGGUUUAUAGAAUUAAAGUUGAAUUCUCAUAGUUUUAAUUGUUUAUAUUUUAGGGAAAUAAGGCUUGAAACUAUUAUAGUGGAUUUUUCUUUAUAAAAAAACUGAACUUCUUCAAAGGCAUUGCAUGUCGGUGUGCGUCUAGGCUAAAUUAACUUCAAGAAAUUGUUUCUCUUAGGCAUCUGAUAACAUUCAUUCUUAUGUAGCUUAUAUAUCUUAUGUUAUUGAAUUUUUUUUGUUGAUUAUUACAUUUGUUAGUUGAUAAAUCUUUUUCGCAGACAAGAGAAAAAGAAUUGAAAAGGAAAAAGGCUCUAGAGAAAGCUUUGAAGCUGCAGGAUCAGGAUGUAAGAAGUCAGCAAAUGAUGAAAGCUACACCAGGUGCCCUAUACCAAAGACCUCUAAAGUCUGUUGGCAUCGGUUAAAUCCAAAAGUUUUGCAAGAAUCAAUUGGAGCAAUGAAGCCAUAUUGGAGCAACUGAUCGAUGAUUGUACUAUUUCUCGAUCUUUUUGUCAUUAUUGUGCAAGGGUCAUGCUAAUCUUUCCGUUCCAAUUUUAUUGAAUGUUUUGCGGAUCAUAGUAAAUUGGGAUAGAAUCUUUGAAGUGUGAAAGGAAAUUCUAAAAAUGAUUAUACCUUUUCGUAAUUUUGUUAUCUGUGGCUGUUGUUUCUCUCCCAAUUUUGGUCUUUUUGUUUUUGAUAACUCUCUUGCAUUGUUCCACGUGCAUCCAUAAACCAUCAUUCAUUCAGUAAUUGCAUCUGAAAAAUGUAUCAUUCAUUCAGUAACUCCCUUCCACUAGUUUUGAUUGAAUUAACCAAUUAUCUUAUGAAAAAAGUCUUGAGGUUGACAUUGAGCCAACUGACACAAUUGAUAAUAUUAAGGAGCGGGUUAAGGAUUAAGAGGGGAUUCCCCCUGUACAGCAAAGUUGUGCAGUUGCUUUUUUCGGUAGUCCAUCUCGCCCCCAACUAGUUGCUUUUGUGGCCCAAGUAGAUGAAACUAUAUUGGAGCAACAGAUUGAUUUAUAGGCCUUUUUUUAGGGUUGGCAGCAAAAUUUUGGUUGAAAUGUACUUAUUUAAAUAACUUGUUGGUACCAAAACACAUAUGUUUAUUCUAUUAUUGUAAACUCUUUACCAAGAAUUGUAUAAAUAUUACAAAGUGUAUGUUAACGUAUAUAUAUUAUAGCAUUGACUGUUUGUUUCUA